rnacentral:rRNA from 1 species
CGUAGGGUGCGAGCGUUAAUCGGAAUUACUGGGCGUAAAGCGUGCGCAGGCGGUUUGUUAAGAUAGGCGUGAAAUCCCCGGGCUCAACCUGGGAACUGCGCUUAUGACUGGCAAGCUAGAGUACGGCAGAGGGGGUGGAAUUCCACGUGUAGCAGUGAAAUGCGUAGAGAUGUGGAGGAACACCAAUGGCGAAGGCAGCCCCCUGGGUCGAUACUGACGCUCAUGCACGAAAGCGUGGGUAGCAAACAGGGUUAGAUACCCUGGUAGUCCACGCCCUAAACGAUGUCAACUAGGUGUUGGGAGGGUAAAACCUUUUAGUACCGGAGCUAACGCGUGAAGUUGACCGCCUAGGGGAGUACGGCCGCAAGGUUA